GGAAAUGAAUUUUAAUGGAGACUUGUGGCAGGAGACUGGUUUCUGUGUUUGCCUGGGGAAGAGAAGGGAAGUUACACUACCUUCCGGGACUCACAAUCUGCUUGUGUGCCCAAGGCUGACAUUUGUUACUGCAUCUCAAUCCUGGAACCAUGAUCAGGGCUCAUCCUGGAUUUAAAGGAGGACUUGUAAGAUGAGAAGCUUUCUGGACAUACAUGACAAGCACUCAGAUAAAACACCUGCUCCCCACUGAGAAACUUCAAAGCCAACUUCAUCCACUUUGACCCUUCAGAAUAACUGCAGUCGAAGGAUAAAUGCUCCAUGUCCUCUCUGCCAGUCGGUGUUUAUCAGAGGACAUUGGAAGAAGAGGGACAAAGGUUCCUGGAUGUUUAUCUGUGAGUGUAAGUCUAUGAUUCUCUGAAGCAAAGGUGCCAGUGAAGUUGCCUCAUAAACAAGCAGACCUUCCAGAAUCUUCCAUCGGAGAAUUAUCACCUGCAAAGACCUCUGAGAGGAGGGAAGCGACAGUGAAAAAACGAGUCUUCCCUGGUCGUGGUGGAUUCUUUGGGCUGACACCCUCAAGCUCCUCCUAACUGGCUUCUCCUGUAAUGGAGGACACCAAAAGCUCACCUUCCCACCAUGCUGCAGAUUGGAAUGGGCAGAUGCCUCCCUUGCUCAGUGUGAAACAUGGGCCACAGUCUAUUGUAGCCACUUCUUUCCUGGAGGACUUUGUCCUGCUCGCCCGGCGUGUGAUGCCCAGGGGACAGCUGCCAUUGUGAAACAAGGGCCCGGCUGGAGGCUAGCAAGAGCCUGCCCCCAUUCCUUGACUGCACCUUUG